UCAAGAGACGAGCAGUGGUUUUGGAUUUAUUUAUUUAUUUUAAUUUUAGGUUUACUUAUGAAUUCAUAAUUUAAUAAUUCCUUUUGAGUUUUGUUUUGGUUCUCCCAAUUGCUUCUACAGUGGGUAAUUAUCCUUUUUUAUCUUGCAGAUUCAUGACAAAGGAUUGGGGUACGGAAGUACGCGUUCAUUCAUUCGCUCAACAUUUUAGGGUUUUCCGGUUUCAAAAUCGCAUUGCAAUUUCACAAGCCACAUUGAGCACUGGGUCAAGGUGAAGCAACAUGUUAUAUUUCUGAAGGGAUACAAUGAUUUGGUGUCGUUAUCUUAGACAUUGGGCUUGCAGGUCAUUCGACGGAGGUGGCCUUUUUUGUUGUGUAUUUCUUCAUUCGUGCACCGUGUGUAAAUCGGCUUCAAAGGGCAGUCACAUUUCUUCUUUAUUGUCAGGUGGUUUUACAAAAUGUGGUAUACUUGUUUUUUUUAUUUAACUAUGUUCAGUUGGGUGGUGCCUUCUUCUUGCCACUCUGUAAGUGAAGGAAAAUAUUUUGCACAGGUGCAAUGAGUCACAAACUUUUUAGGCUCUUUAGUUGGUAAAGAUAGCAUAGUAUACGAGAAAAAAAACUGGGAAAUAUAGUUGUAAGUGGACAUAAAAGGGACCAUGAUUAAUGAGACUAAACCAUUAAACAGACCAUGAUUAAAGAGGCCACGAUUUAUUAAUGGAACCAUGACAUUACAAGUUAACUUUAUGUUUUUUUUUUAAUGUACAUAUUGUUCAUCAUUUGUUUUCAAUCAAUGUAUCAAAACAUACCAGAAUUUGGUCAUGUUAUCUUGAAGAAACGUGACCUACGUUGUAUGAUUAAACAUAUUAACGUUAUUUCGUUUCACAUUUAUCAAACAUAUUUAAAAAAUUUAAGGGGGUCCAGCUCCUGUGAUAAAUAGAAGGCCUUUUGCAUGCGUUUAUAUGAAUGUAGAAAGGCUAGUAUGAUUUAUGGUGCCAUCUCUAACUUUCUCACAAAUAGUCACACGUUUGCUUAUGAUGAGUUAAGUUAUGUGUGACAUAGUUUUAUUGGGUAUUGGUGUUGGAAUGUUAUUUAGACUCUACAAAUCAUGAUAAGGAUUAAUUGUCACAUUAUAAUUAUAAUCAGUUAGAGUUAAUUAUUAGGUUAACUUCCUUCCUUUAAAGUAGAACCGUAAGGCAAGCAUGUUGAACUGAUGGAAAGCCCCACGCCUAUAAGGAUUGAGUAGUGCUUUCAGUUACCAACUG